rnacentral:ncRNA from 1 species
CAUCGCUUGACGGGGUGCCGGUGAAUCCGGCUGAGAUCGCGCAGGGUGUCGAGACACUGUCGAAACAGGCUCGAGACACCGAGUGCGGGUCCCGUGGAACCUGAUCCGGCUCGUACCGGCGUAGGAAUCAAGCGGUGAGCCCGC